AAUAUUAAGAGCAAUACAGAACUUAACACUGUUAGUGAAGUAUGAAAGACCUGCUAACUUACUUGUACCUGAGGAAACAUGUGCAGAUGCAAUGGAAUGUCCUGUUCUUUGGCAAAUAGCAACUCCUAAGCACUGGAAUCUCGUAACAGUAGAAGCAACUCUUCGAAUUCCAUCAGAAAAAGAUGAACAAUUUAAGAAGAAAUUUGUACGGAAAGGCUCCUUGAAUAUGUUGACAACAAUAGCAGCAAAUGUACUUAGUGAUUCUAAAGCAUUUGAAGCUGCGGUCAUAUCCUUCCUUACGAAAAUGAUAGAAGACUGUGAUAUCAAUACAGAAAUACCUUGCGUUGUUGAUGUCAGGCUUCAUAUUUUGAAUGCUAAUGAAGAUAUAUCAAAAUUAAGGAAAAACAAAUAUAACCAGACUUUGGUUUAUGAUGGAUACCGUAUGUCCUUUCAGCCGGGCAGCAGUUCUCAUAAUGGCGUCGAAAAUGCGACAAAGCUCACGUGCUUUUCCAUUAAAAAAAUGGCAAUUUUUAGAAACGGCAUUGACGUCACGAAAAAAGCUGCGUAAAGAAAUUUAACCUGUUUCCCAUUCUAAACCAAGUAUACCUUUUGAUGCGACAGGUUCCAAACUUUCACUACGUUAUUAUUAAAAGGCUGAAAAUACAAUAUUUCAUUGCAAAUUUGGUGGUGAAAGAUGAAAAUACGGGCCGCGGAAGUGACACUUGAAAAUAAAUAAAUGUAAAUUGAAAUGACACACGAAAUAGUAACGUCUAUUCCUAUAGAUGAGAUAAUAACUAUUGAUAUUUUGUUGAAGAAAAGCCCACUGAUAGAAAAACUCGACAGGUAAACCGGCCCAGUGACGAUUCAACAAGUCGAAAAAUAGGACGUUUAAAGGGGAAUAACUCGACCCCAAAACAACAACAACAAUACGACGGUGAUCAUAAAUUGGACUGAACAAAUGUUUUCCCCUUUUUAUUGAUUUGUAAGCAGUGUGACUGGGCACAAAUUUGAAAGUUUAAUAAAAAUGUGAGUUUCAGUUUAUGAAAAUAUCAUUGAAAAAGCGGUCAUUUGUUAAAUAUCGUGUCUGCCUGACAUGUAUCUAUCUAUCUUCCCGUCAUGGAGUGGACUCAUUUUUGAGUGUAUAUACUCCAGCGUGAGUGAACAGCUGAAAA